rnacentral:rRNA from 1 species
UAGGGAAUAUUGGACAAUGGGGGCGACCCUGAUCCAGCCAUGCCGCGUGAGUGAAGAAGGCCCUCGGGUUGUAAAGCUCUUUUGUCCGGAAAGAAAAGCUUCGGGUUAAUACCCCGGGGUUCUGACGGUACCGGAAGAAUAAGCACCGGCUAACUUCGUGCCAGCAGCCGCGGUAAUACGAAGGGUGCAAGCGUUACUCGGAAUUACUGGGCGUAAAGCGUGCGUAGGUGGUUGUUUAAGUCUGAUGUGAAAGCCCUGGGCUCAACCUGGGAAUGGCAUUGGAAACUGGGCAGCUAGAGUGCGGUAGAGGGUAGUGGAAUUCCCGGUAUAGCAGUGAAAUGCGUAGAGAUCGGGAGGAACAUCUGUGGCGAAGGCGACUGCCUGGACCAGCACUGACACUGAGGCACGAAAGCGUGGGGAGCAAACA